UACGUAGGGGGCUAGCGUUGUCCGGAAUCAUUGGGCGUAAAGAGCGUGUAGGCGGCCCGGUAAGUCCGCUGUGAAAGUCGGGGGCUCAACCCUCGAAUGCCGGUGGAUACUGUCGGGCUAGAGUGCGGAAGAGGCGAGUGGAAUUCCUGGUGUAGCGGUGAAAUGCGCAGAUAUCAGGAGGAACACCAAUUGCGAAGGCAGCUCGCUGGGACGCAACUGACGCUGAGACGCGAAAGCGUGGGGAGCAAACAGG
rnacentral:rRNA from 1 species